GUUAAAAUUGGUUUUUAGGAGCACAAGGGACCAAGCCUGAGGAGGCAUCAGAAUCCAAGAAGACUCUAAAACCUCCAGUACUCAUGAAGAGAUGAGUUUGCUCAUUAUCAAUCUCAUUGAUCCUUAGCAUCGGAGCUGAGAGGGAGCCAGGAUGUUCAUCACACUGUGUAAAUGGCCUCUGUGAAGAACUUCCUGGGGUAUGGUCCAGCUUCCUGGAAUGGAAAAUUCUUCAAAUCAAAGGCAGAGGGUAAGGAAGAAAAUGAGAACUGAAACUGCUCCAAUCCCAGCUAGGAGAGAGGAAGAACUGUAAAGAAACCCCCCAAAUUACAUUGUAGAAUUAUUUUUCCCUAUGGUAUUAGGUUGAUCCCCCUUUCCUGGCCACCAGCAGCCCCUUUCCACACUUCUAGGAGCACCAGGAUCAAUUACCAUUCAUUGUUAUUUCAUGUGCAUAGACAACAGAACUUGCUGCUGUCAUAAAAGUAAAGGAACAGAUUUCUUAAAUUGCUACUUGAAGGAGCUCUUCUAUAUCAGUGCCAUUAAAUUAAAUUUCUGCUCUGUAUAAUGCAUAAAAAUGGCUUGUGAAUUUUUUUUCCUUGGGUGACUCAUUUUGUUUGAACUCCAAAGCAAUUCCUCAGAAACGGAAAGAGGCUAUUUAAAAAUGAGCUGUGAGAUUGUCAUUAAAAAUCAUUUUUUUUAAAGCAAAGGAGGUCUCUCCUAGCACCAAAUGAUAAAAUACAAAUUUGAGAAUCCUGAACUCAGUUCUCAAAGGUAUCACCUUUGAAAAGGAAGUUUAAAAAAUAUUAAGUAACCUUUUAAAAAGUAAUUUUAAGGAAGUGAAGAAAUAAGAAUAAAAUCUUAAUUUUUAAGUGAAAAACUUUACUUUUUCUUAAGAGAAGAGUUUCUUGGUACCUCUUUCUGUCUUUUGUUUUUGUUUUUGUUU
rnacentral:lncRNA from 10 species